ensembl:lncRNA
AGCAAGAAUACCUCAGACACUUUCAGAGUUGUUCCUUAUUUCAACUAAAAUAAAUAUUUGAACCAGAUAAAUCAUAUGUGCACCUUAUCUUCAACUUGAGAAGUCCCAACUUUGUUGUGGGGCCUUUGGAUGAGCCUAUCUGUUUGUGUGAGGCCUUUUGGAUGAGCCUAUCUGUUUGUUGUGAGGCCUUUGGAUGAGCCUAUCUGUUUGUUGUGGGGCCUUUGGAUGAGCCUAUCUGUUUGUUGUGGGGCCUUUGGAUGAGCCUAUCUGUUUGUGUGAGGCCUUUGGAUGAGCCUAUCUGUUUGUUGUGAGGCCUUUGGAUGAGCCUAUCUGUUUGUUGUGGGGCCUUUGGAUGAACCUAUCUGUUUGUUGUGAGGCCUUUGGAUGAGCCUAUCUGUUUGUGUGAGGCCUUUAGAUGAACCUAUCUGUUUGUGUGAGGCCUUUAGAUGAACCUAUCUGUUUGUGUGAGGCCUUUAGAUGAGCCUAUCUGUUUGUGUGGGCAUGUGUUUGUGCAUUCAUAGAGUUCUGUGUGUGCGUCAGUGGAAGGGUG